AUUGAACGCUGGCGGCAUGCUUUACACAUGCAAGUCGAACGGUAACAGGGAGCUUGCUCCGCUGACGAGUGGCGAACGGGUGAGUAAUAUAUCGGAACGUACCCAAGAGUGGGGGAUAACGUAGCGAAAGUUACGCUAAUACCGCAUACGAUCUAUGGAUGAAAGUGGGGGAUCGCAAGACCUCAUGCUCCUGGAGCGGCCGAUAUCUGAUUAGCUAGUUGGUGAGGUAAAGGCUCACCAAGGCGACGAUCAGUAGCUGGUCUGAGAGGACGACCAGCCGCACUGGAACAGAGACACGGUCCAGACUCCUACGGGAGGCAGCAGUGGGGAAUUUUGGACAAUGGGCGCAAGCCUGAUCCAGCAAUGCCGCGUGAGUGAAGAAGGCCUUCGGGUUGUAAAGCUCUUUUGUCAGGGAAGAAACGGGAGAGGCUAAUAUCCAUUCCUAAUGACGGUACCUGAAGAAUAAGCACCGGCUAACUACGUGCCAGCCGCCGCAGUAA
rnacentral:rRNA from 1 species